rnacentral:rRNA from 1 species
GCCUUCGGGUUGUAAAGUACUUUNNNCAGUGAGGAAGGGUGUGAAGUUAAUAGCUUCAUAUCUUGACGUUAGCUGCAGAAGAAGCACCGGCUAACUCCGUGCCAGCAGCCGCGGUAAUACGGAGGGUGCGAGCGUUAAUCGGAAUUACUGGGCGUAAAGCGCAUGCAGGUGGUUUGUUAAGUCAGAUGUGAAAGCCCGGGGCUCAACCUCGGAACCGCAUUUGAAACUGGCAGGCUAGAGUACUGUAGAGGGGGGUAGAAUUUCAGGUGUAGCGGUGAAAUGCGUAGAGAUCUGAAGGAAUACCAGUGGCGAAGGCGGCCCCCUGGACAGAUACUGACACUCAGAUGCGAAAGCGUGGGGAGCAAACAGGAUUAGAUACCCUGGUAGUCCACGCCGUAAACGAUGUCUACUUGGAGGUUGUGGCCUUGAGCCGUGGCUUUCGGAGCUAACGCGUUAAGUAGACCGCCUGGGGAGUACGGUCGCAAGAUUA